CACCCAAAGGUGUGACGCGUACCGAACUAAAGUAGGGAAAUGUGUGAGCCGGCUGCCGAGAAAAGCCGCUAUUGUUUGUACUGUACCCGUACCGUAAACCGACACAGGUGGAUGAGGAGAGAAUCCUAAGGCCGACGGAAGAAGCAUUGCUAAGGAACUCGGCAAAAUGACCCUGUAACUUCGGGAGAAAGGGUGCCUCGAAAGAGGCCGCAGAGAAUAGGCCCAAGCAACUGUUUAGCAAAAACACGGGUCUAUGCAAAACCGCAAGGUGAAGUAUAUGGGCUGACGCCUGCCCGGUGCUGGAAGGUUAAGGGGAGAUGUCAGGAGACGAAGCAUCGAACUUAAGCCCCAGUAAACGGCGGCCGUAACAAUAACGGUCCUAAGGUAGCGAAAUUCCUUGUCGGGUAAGUUCCGACCCGCACGAAAGGCGUAAUGAUUUGGGCGCUGUCUCGGCAAUGCAUCCGGUGAAAUUGAAGUGCCAGUGAAGAUGCUGGCUACCCGCGCCAGGACGGAAAGACCCCAUGGAGCUUUACUCCAGCUUGAUACUGGGAUUCGGUAUUGUAUGUACAGGAUAGGUGGGAGGCUGAGAAAUGGUGACGCCAGUCGCCAUGGAGCCGCUGUUGGGAUGCCACCCUUGCAGUACUGGAUUUCUAACCAGCAGCCGUGAUCCGGCUGGGGGACAAUGUCAGGUGGGGAGUUUGACUGGGGCGGUCGCCUCCGAAAGGGUAUCGGAGGCGCCCAAAGGUCCCCUCAGAAUGGUCGGAAACCAUUCGAAGAGUGCAAAGGCAGAAGGGAGCUUGACUGCGACACCGACGGGUGGGGCAGGUACGAAAGUAGGACUUAGUGAUCCGGUGGUAUUAAGUGGGAAUGCCAUCGCUCAACGGAUAAAAGCUACCCUGGGAUAACAGGCUUAUCACUCCCAAGAGUUCACAUCGACGGAGUGGUUUGGCACCUCGAUGUCGGCUCAUCGCAUCCUGGGGCUGUAGUAGGUCCCAAGGGUUGGGCUGUUCGCCCAUUAAAGCGGUACGCGAGCUGGGUUCAGAACGUCGUGAGACAGUUCGGUCCCUAUCCGGCGUGGGCGUAGGAUAUUUGAGAGGAGCUGACCUUAGUACGAGAGGACCGGGUUGGACUGACCUCUGGUGCACCGGUUGUCAUGCCAAUGGCACAGCCGGGUAGCCAAGUCGGGAAGGGAUAAACGCUGAAGGCAUCUAAGCGUGAAGCCCCCCUCAAGAUUAGAUAUCCCCCGCAUAAGCGGUAAGACCCCUUGAAGACGACGAGGUAGAUAGGGCAGAGGUGGAAGUGCAGUAAUGUAUGGAGCUGACUGCUACUAAUAGGUCGAAGGCUUAAUA
rnacentral:rRNA from 1 species